CAUUAGUCGAAAAUCGACUUUUAGGUCCCUAAUACUAAACAUUAACAUUGGAAAGCCAAAUGAACAAAAAAUAGCGAGAAUUUGUGUAAAUUGUUAUAUUGUUUUUUUUUUAUACUAAAACACGGAAUCUUUGAAAACAAAAAAUUAUUACAAGUGAAGUAAAGAUUUUUUCUGUAUUGCUUAACGGCGAAGAGAAACUAUGAGCGUUCUUACAUAUCCACCCACAAAUGAAGAGGAAAUAUUUCGCCAUUGCACUAAAGAAUGCGGCAUCAUUACGGCCACAGAAGAUCAACAAUACUUCGCUUUGGGAUGUAUGACCUGUUCCGAGAAGUUCUUAUACUUCGAUGCCUUCAUCGAACACAUGCAAACCCGUCAUUAUAGCGACAAUGAUGGUGACUCUAAAAGUCGUAAACGUCGCCAUGAUGAAGACGAAAGUGAAGAUUUAACCGAUGGGCAUCCACCGUUGUUGGACCCACCAGAAGUUAUGAUUAAAGAAGAAAAAUAUGAUGUCGAUGAGGAUGCGGAUGCCUGUGACAAUGAACCUUUACUUAACAAUGACGAUGAUUAUGCCGACAAUUUUUAUAAUGUGAAGCGUGAGAAAACAGAUCCUAAUACGAGUUUGCCGGUUAGCGAUGCCAGUUAUUUAGCCGAUUCAUACGGAAAUUUCAAUGAUGACUAUGCCGAAGACGACGACAUGGGCGACGAGGAUGCCAAUUACGACGAUUUGGUAGAAGAAUCUCUUUUAGAUAGCUCUUCCACAGUGGGUGUUACCAGCCACAUUAAAGAUCGUAAAAUGAUUCAAUUUUUGAUUGAAGCCUACCGUCGCAACACUUUUCUGUGGGAUCAUCGUCAUCCUCAAUUCCGUGAUCGAGUCAAACGUGGACAAUUUAUCGAAUGGAUAAAUGCUGAAUUCAAAAAACGUUUCAAUUUAGUAUUGGCUAAAGAUGCAGUUACGCGAAAAUGGGAUAACUUGCGCACCGUCUAUAAGCGAGAGUGCAAUCGAAUGGCACUGGAAAGAACUAAUGUUAGCACCUUAUGGUAUUUUAGAGAAUUGCACUUCCUUAAUAACUUAUAUGGUGGAAAUACAAAGUUAUCAGAAGCUGUUGUUAAAGAGACUAUAUAUCGCAGACGUUUCUCCGCUCUGUGGAAUGAUAUAUCGACGACUAAAUUGCUGGACAUGCUUAAAUCGUAUCCAUGCUUUUAUGACAAAUACAACAUUGAUUACCGGAGUAAAGAGAAGCGGGGUGAAGCGUUGCAUAGAAUGGCAGUCGAGCUUGCACCUUUCAUUGAAGUGUCCACCAUACAGAUAUCGAAACGUAUCUCACAGUUAAGAUUUGACUACUCAAAACAAAAGCAGGAAAGGAUUAUGUGUGAAAUGACGGGUAGAGCGUUCACGCCAACCUAUAGCUAUUACGAAAACAUGAUUUUCAUGGAUGGCGAUGUAGCACCAUUUAAAUGUGAACACUGCCCCAUGAUUAUGAAUACACCGCGUGAAUUAGACACACAUCAAAUGUCGCACCAACACAAGACGCAGGCUCUGCAGUCGUCAUCCUCUACUUCAAUGGGCAGCAGCGGAACGAGCCAAAGUAGUGGUAACACUAACAAUGUGAGUGGUUCCAGUUACUAUUGUCCGAUAUGCCAGUUAGGAUUCACGGAGUUGGAGCAAUACAAUCGUCACAAACAAAUGCAUCCUGUACUCAAAGAAGUCAAAUAUCAUUGCGAUUUAUGUACAGCCAGCUUCCGUGAAAAGAGCAACUACGAAGAACACAUGCGAAGGCAUAACGACGAACUGUUGUUACCCGAUUUAAACAGCAUAAUUCCAGACAAUAAAGAAGAGUUAAUCACGAGUGAUACUCCCUCAUACGACCAGGACUCCAAGGCAUAUGUUAAAAAUCAAUGUUACUAUCCAACUUGGAGACCGCCAUUUCCAUCCCCCGUUAAGGCCGAGUUAAACAAUUCGAAUCCAGACAAUAGCGAUGAGUUAAUAACAAGUGACGCUCCCUCAUAUGACUCUUCAUCUCCUCAGGAUUCCAAGGCAUACGUGAAAAAUCAAUGUUAUUACCCAAAUUGUGGUAGGCAAUUUGCAUCCCGUUCUGGUAUGCUGGAACACGUAAAGACUCAUAGUGAGGAGGAGUUCCCGUGCGAUAUAUGUGGCAAGUCAUUUAAGUCCGUUAAAAAUCUACAAAAUCACAAACAAAUCCAUGACGCCGUAAAGAAAUACAUUUGCAAAAUUUGUGGUUCUGCGUUUGCCCAAGCAGCCGGUCUAUAUUUGCAUAAGAGGCGACACAAUCGCAGCAUGUAAUGUAUUUGAAAGAAUGACUUUAUCCAUUAUUCUCAAUGUUUUUUAAAUCAAAAUGGAAUUAAAAUAAGAUCUUGGAAAAAAGUACGAAAAACGCUACGUAAAAAUGUACCACAGAAACUAUAACAAGAAAAACGACCAACAUUUUUGCAAGAGUAUGCCAAAACCCUUUAUAAGGCACCUAACUCAAAUAAUCAAGAAUGGCUUAUGGAAAAUGCAACACUCAAUUAAGGAUGUGUCGACAAUCCCAUGGCAUCCGAUGUUUUUAAUAAACAAAUUCAUGCAAAUCGAAGUAUUUAAUCAAUCUAACUAAACCAUACACACAUAACUACCAUUAAAUAAAUAAAAAAUAUAUGAUAUAGUUUAAAAAUUCACAUGCUACAUAACAAAUGAAAAAAUAUAUAUUUUAUCGAACAACACAGAUCAUUAAUGCUUUGCAAUAAGUUAUCUUUAAGAUAAGAUGUCAAAUCAAUCGAUCCAAGCGCAGCCCUUCAAUACGCCUAUUUACACUGUGUGGUGCCCGUUGGAGAAAAGCUGAGUCGCAACAAAUAAUAUAAAAAAUAUAAUUGUUAAGUAAUGAAUAGCAGUGUCUUACGAAUAGUAUUGAACAACAAUUUACUGUCUUAAAACAUAAAUAAAUAACAAUCUUCAAUGAAUAAAUUACUAUAGAAUAA